AGACAACACUAUGUGGCAGGUGAUCAAAACUGUCUGACACAAUUUGAGCUUGCUAUAGCAAGAAAGUCUCACAUAUUCCGGUGCUCUCUCUUCUGUGAGACAAGAUAUUAUGUUAGACUUAAACCAU